UUCAUUCUGCUGCCGAGGCAUACAACGCUUCAUCUCCGCAGCGCACAUCAGCCGUUCGACGGAAUGCCCCACUAGACCAGGACGCCCGACGCCAUGUCCUUCCUGGCGUUCGGUCGCGGCCGCCUCCUCCGUGAGCUCUCCAAUCGGCGCCCGCCGCCGCCUCAACGGCGAGGAGUUCACGCCGCGUUCGUCCGGCGGUUCAGCGCGCAUCACUUCCCGCUCGAUGGAGUUGAGGACGCCGCGGAGCAAGCCGUCCAACCGCCACUGCCGUCGUCGCCGCCGGUUUCUCUGGCGAAGAGUCUGGCCUCUCUCGCCGAGGAGUCGGCCGAGGCCGUCCAGAGACAGAGGAAACCCCUCAUGCGGAUGGAGCGGAGGCGGCUGGCGGAGCUCCGCAUCAAGAAGAGGGUCAAGGCGCAGUACCUGAACGGCAGGUUCUACGACCUCAUGCGUAAGGUCGUGGCGACCGUCGAGACGCUGGAGGACGCGUACGACAUUAUCCGUCUCAAUUCGAACGUUGAUCUAGCGUCUGCGAAGGAUGAUGCCUGCUUCGUUACGCUGGCAGAGCAGCUGAGGAGUGGGGAGUUUGAUGUCAGAGCAAAUGCUUUCUCAGUGGUGGCGAAGAGACGGGGAGAAGGGUGCCUUGUUCUUCCUAGGCUGAACUUGAAAGUUGUUCAGGAAGCGAUAAGGGUGGUGUUGGAGGUUGUAUACAGGCCUCAAUUCUCAAAGAUAUCACAUGGUUGCCGCAGUGGGCGAGGGUAUCACUCAGCCCUCAGGUUCAUAUCAGAUGAAAUUGGGAUUCCAGAUUGGUGCUUUACUGUCCCAUUGCACAAAGAGGUUGAUAGCAAUGUAAACUCUAAGCUUAUUUCUCUGAUACAGGAGAAGAUUGAGGACACCCAGUUAAUUGCAUUCAUGCAAAAUAUGUUUGAUGCCAAGGUGAUCAAUUUGGUAUUUGGUGGGUACCCAAAGGGCCAUGGGCUGCCCCAAGAAGGCGUACUUGCACCAAUCCUGAUGAACAUAUAUCUUGACAGUUUUGACCAUGAGGUGUUCAGGAUUUGCUUGAAACAUGAAGGCCUUGGUUCAGAGGCAACAAACGUUUCAGAAGACCAUGGGUCAAAUUUGCGUCGCUGGUUUCGGAGCCAACUGAAGGGGAGAGAUGAAAAUAGUGAAGAACAAACAGAUUGUCAGACAAAGAUAAAGCUAUAUGCUUGUAGAUAUAUGGAUGAGAUUUUUGUUGCAGUUUCUGGAUCCAGAGAUGUUGCAGAAGAUUUGAAAUCUGAAAUUGUUGCUUACUUAAGCAAAUCACUUUACUUGGAAGUUGAUAAUAGGUUGCGUCUGAUGCCAGUCAAAAGGAAUUUGCGGGGAUUACAGUUUUGCGGUGUUGUGGUCAGAGCCGAAACAAAGGAAAACGCCAAACUGAAAGCUGUGCAUAAACUGAAGGAGAAGAUUGGUUUGUUUGCUUCUCAGAAGCAAGAGAUUUGGGACGCUAUGAAUCUUAGAGUAGGAAAGAAGUGGUUGGCAUAUGGUUUGAGAAGAAUAAAAGAGAGUGAGAUCAAGCCACUUGGCCUUAGCACCCCAUUACUCGAUCACAUUGCACAAUAUAGGAAAGACGGCAUGAAGACAGAUCACUGGUUCAAAACUUUAUUAAAGGUAUGGAUGCAGGAUGUCAAUGCCAAGAAAGAGCUAAAUGAGGAUGUUCUCCUAUCUAAAUACAUUGCUGAACCAGCACUUGCACAAGACCUUAGGUAUGCAUUCUACAACUUUCAGAAGCAAGCUAAAGAUUACAUCUCAUCAGAAACUGCUGCUACUGAGGCAUUGUUGUCCAGUUUAAAGAGCGAGGAAUCAAUUAGUACCUGCACUGAUGGUGGUAUCAUUAAAAUUCAUGCUCCUCUUAGCUAUAUUCAGAAGUGCCUUCAUCGCUAUGGUCUAAUUAAUCUCAAAGGUUUCCCUAGGCAUGUUUCAGCCCUUGUCUUGCAAGAUGAUGAGUUAAUAGUAAGUUGGUUUGCAGGAAUAAUUCAUCGUUGGAUAAGAUGGUUUUCUGAGGUUGACAAUUAUAAAGAACUUCAGCUUAUGUUUGUUGAAUGUGUCAGAAAAUCCUGCAUCAGGACAUUAUCUGCAAAGUAUCGGAUGUAUGAAAAAUUGACCGAAAAGCGGUUUGAACUUGAUGAUCAUGGCAUUCCAAGGGUUGAGGAUUUUGAGGCAAUAAUUAAACCUUUAGAAUCUAGUUAUUCUUUGGCUUCCACUGAUGAAGCUUUGAUGUAUGGCAUUUCUAGUAGUGGUUUAUUUGUGCUAACACUGUCAAGGGUUAGAGUCCCUACUCGACAAUUCAACUGCUUUGUCAUGGGCUGCCAAUCUGCAUCACCAAGUAUGUAUGUGCUUCAUGUGAAGGAGAAACAACAUUUUCCUGGAUGGAGGACAGGUUUCUCGUCAUCAAUUCAUGGGAGUUUGGAUGGUAAACGAAUUGGAUUGUGCACCCAGCAUGUUAAAGAUCUAUAUCUGGGACACAUCUCCCUUCAAUCAGUUGAUUUUGGUUCCCUGCUCAGAUGACUUGAAGAUGAUACCUGUGGUUUUCUAAUAGUCAGGGGCUUUCUACUGACUCACAGAGCAGUAGGUUCAGUGCUUGUAAACCAAUACAUGGUUGUUGCUAAUCGUAGUAUCAUUUGGUGAGAGAUAACUUACCUGGUAUGCUUGUGGACUACUUCAAAUUGAAAAUGAGCCUACAAUUUGAAGCGGCUCCUUUUCGGAAACCAAUCAAUUUAUGGACAAUUACUUUUGAGAAAGUUCUGCUGCUCUCCGGUAUAUACAUAUGUGACUGCUAAAACUCAAGUUUGUUUGACAGACUUGCAUUGGAUUCCCUGCUGGAUUGGCUCACUGAUUGUAACUUGUAUUCAGAGUUGUUUUGCGAUAAGCUCCUAACUGAAUCAGGCAGCAAACUGUGUAAUGAUGGACAAUAGAACUGAUGUAAAACGUGGAUUGGUUUGAUCUGAUCCAAUGAGAACCUGAUUUGGAGAAGUGCACAAUGCACUCAGGUUCACAAGAUGCGGUUGCAAACACAUGUUGCAUA